CCUACGGGCGACAGCAGUGAGGAAUAUUGGUCAAUGGGCGGGAGCCUGAACCAGCCAAGUCGCGUGAGGGAAGACGGUCCUAUGGAUUGUAAACCUCUUUAGGCGGGGAGCAAUGCCGGGCACGCGUGCCCGGAGGGAGAGUACCCGCAGAAUAAGCAUCGGCUAACUCCGUGCCAGCAGCCGCGGUAAUACGGAGGAUGCGAGCGUUAUCCGGAUUUAUGGGGUUUAAGGGCUGCUAAGGCGGAUUUUUAAGUCAGCGGUAAAAUGUCCGGGCUAAACCCGGACCGGCCGUUGAAACUGGUGAUCUUGAGUGGGCGAGAGGUGUGCGGAAUGCGUGGUGUAGCGGUGAAAUGCAUAGAUAUCACGCAGAACUCCGAUUGCGAAGGCAGCAUACCGGCGCCCGACUGACGCUGAGGCACGAAAGCGUGGGGAUCGAACAGGAUUAGAUACCCGGGUAGUC
rnacentral:rRNA from 1 species